AUUGAACGCUGGCGGCAGGCCUAACACAUGCAAGUCGAGCGGAUGAAGGGAGCUUGCUCCUGGAUUCAGCGGCGGACGGGUGAGUAAUGCCUAGGAAUCUGCCUGGUAGUGGGGGAUAACGUCCGGAAACGGGCGCUAAUACCGCAUACGUCCUGAGGGAGAAAGUGGGGGAUCUUCGGACCUCACGCUAUCAGAUGAGCCUAGGUCGGAUUAGCUAGUUGGUGGGGUAAAGGCCUACCAAGGCGACGAUCCGUAACUGGUCUGAGAGGAUGAUCAGUCAUAGUGGAACGGAGACACCGUCCAGACGUCUACGUGAGCAAGCAGGUGGGAAUAUUCUACAAUGUUCGAAAGUCUUAUCCAGCUACGCCGCGUGAGUGAUGAAGUUAUUUUGAUUUCAUAACUCUUUUAGUUGGCAACAAGAAAAGUGAACGUAUAUCUUCCCGUCGGAACGUUACCUAAAGAAAAAGCACCGGCUAACUUAGUG
rnacentral:rRNA from 1 species